rnacentral:rRNA from 2 species
GGAACUGUGAGACAGGUGCUGCAUGGCUGUCGUCAGCUCGUGUUGUGAAAUGUUGGGUUAAGUCCCGCAACGAGCGCAACCCUUAUCCUUUGUUGCCAGCGGUCCGGCCGGGAACUCAAAGGAGACUGCCAGUGAUAAACUGGAGGAAGGUGGGGAUGACGUCAAGUCAUCAUGGCCCUUACGACCAGGGCUACACACGUGCUACAAUGGCGCAUACAAAGAGAAGCGACCUCGCGAGAGCAAGCGGACCUCAUAAAGUGCGUCGUAGUCCGGAUUGGAGUCUGCAACUCGACUCCAUGAAGUCGGAAUCGCUAGUAAUCGUGGAUCAGAAUGCCACGGUGAAUACGUUCCCGGGCCUUGUACACACCGCCCGUCACACCAUGGGAGUGGGUUGCAAAAGAAGUAGGUAGCUUAACCUUCGGGAGGGCGCUUACCACUUUGUGAUUCAUGACUGGGGUGAAGUCGUAACAAGGUAACCGUAGGGGAACCUGCGGUUGGAUCAC